CCAAGAAGUUAACCCCUCGUUUUGUUGGCCCUUUCCCUAUUAUUUCCGUCAUCAAUCCCUCAGCGGUCACACUCAAGCUGCCUCCAGCCAUGCACGUCCACCCCACCUUCCAUGUCUCUCGUUUAAAGCCAGUCUCCACCAGUCCCCUCUCCCCCCCGGACGUUCCCCCCCCACCUCCCCGUUUGAUUGACAACCACCCAGCUUACACCGUCCGGCAGUUGCUGGACAUUCGUCGUCGGGGCAGGGGGUAUCAGUACCUCGUGGAUUGGGAGGGUUAUGGGCCAGAGGAAAGGAGCUGGGUUUCGCGGGGCCUCAUCCUCGACCCCUCCCUCAUCCGGGAUUUUCAUCUGGCUCACCCAGAGAGGCCUAGGCCGCCUGGAGGCGUCCAUUGAGGGGAGGGUACUGUUGUGGUCACAGCAGUCUGCUGUGUUUUUCCUCCUCCUGGGUUUGCCACUCCCCCUGUCUGUCUCACUUCACACCUGGCCGUCAUCUGCAAUCAUGCUCACCUGGUCGUCAUCUCCAAUCAACUCCCCUUCAUAAACCCUUGGAUUCCCUGCUGUCGGUGCCAGAUCGUACUUCGCUCUACAGUGUUAUCCGGAUCACGCAAUCCAGCUCGCCUGCCUCACCCUCCCCCCGGCUUCCGCGUCCUCUACCUGCUCCUCCACCUCAUUCAAUAAACCCUCUUGCAUCAAUUCAA